UAGCGUAUAUUAAAGUUGUCGCGGUUAAAAAGCUCGUAGUUGGAUUUCUGUUGAGAACGGCUCGUCCUCGCUAUGCGUGUGUAUGUGGUUCGAUCUCGGCAUCCUCCAGGGGUACAUUCCUGCGCUUAGUUGCGUGGGGUGGAAUUCUGGACUUUUACUUUGAGGAAAUUAGGGUGUUCACGGCAGGCAAUCGCCUUGAAUAUAUUAGCAUGGAAUAAUAAUAUAGGACCUUGACUCUAUUUUGUUGGUUUCUAGAAUUUAGGUAAUGAUUAAUAGGGACAAUUGGGGGCAUUUGUAUUAACACGUCAGAGGUGGAAUUCUUGGAUUGUGUUACGACAAACUACUGCGAAAGCAUUUGCCAAGGAUGUUUUCAUUGAUCAAGAACGAAAGUAAGGGGAUCGAAGACGAUUAGAUACCGUCGUAGUCUUUACCAUAAACUAUGCCGACUAGAGAUUGGAGGUCGUUUUUUUUGUGACUCCUUCAGCACCUUAUGAGAAAUCAAAGUCUUUGGGUUCCGGGGGGAGUAUGGUCGCAAGGCUGAAACUUAAAGGAAUUGACGGAAGGGCACCACCAGGAGUGGAGCCUGCGGCUUAAUUUGACUCAACACGGGGAAACUUACCAGGUCCAGACUGGGUAAGGAUGUACAGAUUGACAGCUCUUUACAGAUUCUCAGGGUGGUGGUGCAUGGCCGUUCUUAGUUGGUGGAGUGAUUUGUCUGGUUAAUUCCGUUAACGAACGAGACCUUAACCUGCUAA
rnacentral:rRNA from 1 species